rnacentral:tRNA from 1 species
GCACCCGUAGCUCAGCGGAUUAGAGCAAUGGGCUUCUAUCCCACAGGUCGGGGGUUCGAAUCCCUCCGGGUGUACCA